rnacentral:rRNA from 1 species
AUAUGCUUGUUCCAAAGCUUAAGCCAUGCAUGUCUAAGAACAAUCGAUCUCAGUGAAUCUGCGAACGGCUCCGUAUAUCUGUGGUCACCCGCCGCCCUCCGCCCGGAGGGGACGCAAUUCCCCCCUCCGGCAGCGGAUAACCACGGUAAUUCUGCGGCUAAUACGUGUACGAAGCGAGGGGCGUCUGCGUAUGCGGUCGCCUCCGGCCUUGCCGCCCAUCUAAGGCGCGGGCUUCGGCCCUCCGGCUUGAUGCAGGCAAGUUGCCCUACCGGUCACCUCGUGGCUGGAGUAGGCGCCGGACUUCAGACCUAUCAACUAUACGGCUUGGGCGAGUCCCUCCGUGGUUGCGACGGGUACAGAGGAUCAGGGUUCGGUCCUGGAGAGGUAGCCUGAGAGAUCGCUACUACUUCUAAGGAAGGCAGCAGGCGCGCAACGUUCCCAAUGGGGACACCCUGAGGACGUGACGGAAUAUAUCAAUGCUCCACCUAUAAAAGUGGGGCAAUUGAAAUGGGGACUAGCCAAACCCCUUACCGAGUAACGAUUGGAGGACAAGUCUGGUUAAUCUAGCCAGGUGUCAAGACCGAAGGGGGAUGCGGCAAUAGGCGCAUUUUCUUAGGUCAAGGCAGAAAGCAGGGAUAAGCUCCUGUUGUACAACUGUAAAUUGCAGGGAAAGCUAGGUACGGGUGUAGAUACCGCGGUUCCUGGGAAACUGGGAGCGCAGCAGGGCCUUCGGGCCUGGAUGGUGACAACGCUACAUUCAGGGGCCAUUGUCCGGCCACGCUUCUUCGGCCUUGUGCCGAGGGGGCACCUCCCUAGCCUAUCUGCAGCCAAAGCGUUCUGUUCCCCUCGGGGGGGGCGUUUGCGAGGUUCAGAGACUAUAAUCAGUUGGGCGCAAGCUUAAGGAAUAGUCCACUCCCCCCGGUGACGGGGCCAACGGAAGUAGGGGGAAGCAGCUUACCCCUGAGGCACGUUGGGUCCUUCGAAGCGAGGGUUCAUUCGCAAUCCCCUCGCGAGGUAUAGGACGGUACGUAGGGCCAGCACCCGCGGUAAUUCCAGCUCCAAUAGCAUCUAGUUAAGUUGUUGCAGUUAAAACGCUCGUAGUCCAAGUUGGUGCGUACGCCGCCCGACUAGUAGCGGCCGGCACAGCGUCCCCCCUCUUCUGGGGCCGGGCGCUCCCCGGCUGUCAACCUCGGGAGCUCGGGCGUACCACUAUACUUGCCGGAGCCUUAAAGCCGCUGGCGGUCCUUCAGUGGUCCGCCUCCUGGCCUCCGGCGCUUUACUUUGAGUAAAUGUGAGCGCUCCACGCAGGCCACUUUGGCCCUUGCAACCCGCAGCAAAGAAUAAUCUUACGGGCCCCCUCAGAUUGCGCCUAGCGAGGGGGGGGCCAAUCGAUCGAUGGGUUGGAUCGGGGUGGGCCACAUGGCGGGGUUAGGGGUGAAAUCCAUUGAUCCUCGCCAGGUGAUCGAACGCGAAAGCAGCCCACAAGUACCUCUCUAUUGAUCAAGAACGAAAGUCUGGGGAUCGAAGAUGAUUAGAUACCAUCGUAGUCCAGACCCUAAACGAUGCCGGCCACGGAUGGGCCGCCGUCCAUAUCGACCCAGUCCGAACCUUACGGGAAACCAUAAGCGUUUGGGCUCUGGGGGGAGUAUGGUCGCAAGGCUGAAACUUAAAGGAAUUGACGGAAGAUCACACAAGGAGUGGAGCCUGCGGCUUAAUUUGACUCAACACGGGGAAACUCACUAGGGCAAGAGGGGGGGGUGAUCGACAGCUAAGCAGGGCUUUCUUGAUUCCCCCAGUGGUGGUGCAUGGUCGUUCUUAGUUCGUGGAUUGAUUUGUCUGGUCUAUUCCGUUAACGAGCGAGAACCUGCCCUUCGUUGUUCGGUCCUUGGGCUAGCCAGGACUGCUGGCGCAAGUCGGCGGUCUAGGCGUCGCGCCCCUGGGUACCCUUGCAUACUGGAGGGAUCGGUAGCGAGAAGUUGCCGGAAGUUGGUCAAUAACAGGUCAGUGAUGCCCUUAGAUGCUCUAGGCUGCACGCGCGCUACAAUGGGGGUGGCAACGGGUGCCUGCGCCUAACCGGCGGCGGGUAAUCCGCCGAAACACCCUCGUAUCUGGGACCGAGCCAUGUAAGCUGGCUCGCAAACAAGGAAUUUCUAGUAGUCGUGGGUCAUCAGCCCUCGACGAUUU